UAUCUUCGUAGUCCAGGAGUCGGGCCGAAGGUCAUAGUCCGGCCAUCCGGACACCCCCUAAUCCAGGACUCCCUCAGCUGGACUUGGUUUUUGCAUAAUCUGCGCCGGGCUAUUGCACAUCCCAAUGGGUUGGUCAUUCAUACAGAUGCCUGCAAAUGUUUAGAAGUGGCCGUGGACAAUGUGUUCCCUGGAGUAGAGCAUAGGGAGUGCAUGCAUCACCUUGCUGCAAAUUUGAUGAAGAAAUUCAAAGGAAAGGUGUAUACCGACAAUUUAUGGCCAGCAUCUUUGACUUCCAGUGUGAAGAAGCAGAACUACCACUUGAGGCAGUUAUACAUGAAUCCCAAAGUGAAAGAAUACUUGGAAACACACCACUCCAAGUUAUGGGCCAGAAGACAAUUCAGUGAACUGAGCAAAGUUGACUAUGUGCACAAUAAUCUAGCAGAGUCUUUCAACUCAACGUUUCGCAAA
rnacentral:rRNA from 1 species